rnacentral:rRNA from 1 species
GACGAACGCUGGCGGCGUGCCUAAUACAGGCAAGUAGAACGCUGAAGAGAGGAGCUUACUCUUCUUGGAUGAGUGGCGAACGGGUGAGUAACGCGUGGGUAACCUGCCUUGUAGCGGGGGAUAACUAUUGGAAACGAUAGCUAAUACCGCAUAACAAUUGAUGACACAGGUUAUUUAUUUGAAAGGGGCAAUUGCUCCACUACAAGAUGGAUCUGCGUUGUAUUAGCUAGUAGGUGAGGUAAUGGCUCACCCAGGCGACGAUACAUAGCCGACCUGAGAGGGGGGUUCGCCCACACGGGACUGGGACCAGGCCCCGACCCCUUCCGGGGGGCGCCGGAGGGGAUCCUCGGGAAUUGGGCGAACCCUGGCCGGGGCACGGCGGGUGAGUUAAGAAGGUUUUCCGGUCGGAAAGCUCUGUUGUAAGUCAAGAACGGGUGUGGGAGUGGAAAGUUCACACUGUGACGGUACCUUAUCAGAAAGCGACGGCUAACUACGUG